rnacentral:rRNA from 1 species
GACAGAGGGUGCAAGCGUUGUUCGGAAUUACUGGGCGUAAAGCGCGCGCAGGCGGCGCGUUAAGACAGGUGUGAAAGCCCCGAGCUUAACUUGGGAAUUGCGCUUGUGACUGGCGUGCUGGAGUGUGGCAGAGGGAGGUGGAAUUCCACGUGUAGCAGUGAAAUGCGUAGAGAUGUGGAGGAACACCGAUGGCGAAGGCAGCCUCCUGGGCCAGCACUGACGCUCAUGCACGAAAGCGUGGGGAGCAAACAGG